UACGUAGGGGGCUAGCGUUGUCCGGAUUUAUUGGGCGUAAAGAGCGUGUAGGCGGCCUGACAGGUCUGCUGUGAAAACUCGAGGCUCAACCUCGAGAUGUCGGCGGAAACCGUCUGGCUAGAGUCCGGAAGAGGAGAGUGGAAUUCCUGGUGUAGCGGUGAAAUGCGCAGAUAUCAGGAAGAACACCUAUGGCGAAGGCAGCUCUCUGGGACGGUACUGACGUCUGAGACGCGAAAGCGUGGGGAGCGAACAGG
rnacentral:rRNA from 1 species